CCAGACUCCUACGGGAGGCAGCAGUGGGGGAUAUUGCACAAUGGGGGGAACCCUGAUGCAGCGACGCCGCGUGGGUGACGAAGUAUUUCGGUAUGUAAAGCCCUAUCAGCAGGGAAGAAGAUGACAGUACCUGACCAAGAAGCCCCGGCUAACUACGUGCCAGCAGCCGCGGUAAUACGUAGGGGGCAAGCGUUAUCCGGAUUUACUGGGUGUAAAGGGAGCGUAGGUGGCAUGGCAAGCCAGAAGUGAAAACCCGGGGCUUAACCCCGCGGAUUGCUUUUGGAACUGUCAGGCUGGAGUGCAGGAGGGGCAGGCGGAAUUCCUGGUGUAGCGGUGAAAUGCGUAGAUAUCAGGAGGAACACCGGUGGCGAAGGCGGCCUGCUGGACUGUAACUGACACUGAGGCUCGAAAGCGUGGGGAGCAAACAGGAUUAGAUACCCCCGUAG
rnacentral:rRNA from 1 species